AUGCUUUGUAAUUACUGUUAUUGCUACCACU
rnacentral:piRNA from 1 species